rnacentral:rRNA from 1 species
CCUACGGGGCGCAGCAGUGGGGAAUAUUGGACAAUGGGCGAAAGCCUGAUCCAGCCAUGCCGCGUGUGUGAAGAAGGCCUUCGGGUUGUAAAGCACUUUCAGUGGGGAAGAAAGCCUUGGGGCUAAUACCCUCGAGGAAGGACAUCACCCACAGAAGAAGCACCGGCUAACUCCGUGCCAGCAGCCGCGGUAAUACGGAGGGUGCGAGCGUUAAUCGGAAUUACUGGGCGUAAAGCGCGCGUAGGCGGUCUGAUAAGCCGGUUGUGAAAGCCCCGGGCUCAACCUGGGAACGGCAUCCGGAACUGUCAGGCUAGAGUGCAAGAGAGGAAGGUAGAAUUCCCGGUGUAGCGGUGAAAUGCGUAGAGAUCGGGAGGAAUACCAGUGGCGAAGGCGGCCUUCUGGACUGACACUGACGCUGAGGUGCGAAAGCGUGGGUAGCAAACAGGAUUAGAUACCCCGGUAGUC